CUUUUCCCCUCCCUCUUCCUUGCCUUGCCUGAAGGCGGCGCUAAGUGGUUGUCGUCAUCUCUACGCGCCGACGGUUGCUAAGAGAAUCGUCGGUUGCUAGUGCCGCAGGUCGCUACAAUGGACCAAUUCCUAAGUUGCCGAUUGAAUCCUCUCGGGAUCGCGUCUGCACUCCCCAGGCAGAUAAGGAAACUGAGACAAAUAAGAGUCACACAGUAUCUGAGACUAGAUAUGAACUCAAGAGGUCACACAGCUAGUGAGAGACCAGAUUUGAACUCAGGAAGAAGAGUUUUCCUUACUUCGGAACUGGCAUUCAACUCUGCCACCUCGCUGCUCUGUUUACUAAUAUUUAUUGUUAAUAGUACUAACAAAUACUAUCUAUAUUAAAUAUUACGAUUGUGGCAUUAA